UACGGGGGGUGCAAGCGUUACUCGGAAUCACUGGGCGUAAAGAGCAUGUAGGCGGAUUAAUAAGUUUGAAGUGAAAUCCUAUAGCUUAACUAUAGAACUGCUUUGAAAACUGUUAAUCUAGAAUGUGGGAGAGGUAGAUGGAAUUUCUGGUGUAGGGGUAAAAUCCGUAGAUAUCACCAGGAAUACCGAUUGCGAAGGCGAUCUACUGGAACAUUAUUGACGCUGAGGCAUGAAAGCGUGGGGAGCAAACAGG
rnacentral:rRNA from 1 species